UGGGGAAUAUUGCACAAUGGGGGAAACCCUGAUGCAGCGACGCCGCGUGAGCGAAGAAGUAUUUCGGUAUGUAAAGCUCUAUCAGCAGGGAAGAAGAAAGACGGUACCUGACUAAGAAGCCCCGGCUAACUACGUGCCAGCAGCCGCGGUAAUACGUAGGGGGCAAGCGUUAUCCGGAUUUACUGGGUGUAAAGGGAGCGCAGACGGCAUGGCAAGUCUGAAGUGAAAGGCAUGGGCUCAACCCGUGGACUGCUUUGGAAACUGUCAGGCUAGAGUGUCGGAGAGGCAAGUGGAAUUCCUAGUGUAGCGGUGAAAUGCGUAGAUAUUAGGAGGAACACCAGUGGCGAAGGCGGCUUGCUGGACGAUGACUGACGUUGAGGCUCGAAAGCGUGGGGAGCAAACAGG
rnacentral:rRNA from 1 species